GGGACCGUUCCGGCACCGAUGCCUUUGUCGGCGUCCAGUGCCGCCGUGGGCAGUCGCACAUGUCGCGACGUGCGGUCCCUGCCGAUGGGCCCUGUCGAGCUGCCACAUUUUCUGUGUGAUGGCUCCCCACGUG